AGGAGUUGGAAUAGGAGCUUGCUCCG
rnacentral:piRNA from 2 species